UGACUGGGGCGGUCGCCUCCUAAAGAGUAACGGAGGCGUGCAAAGGUAAGUUCAAAUUGGAGUUAUAAAAUCAAUUGUAGAGCGUAAUAGUAUAUUGCUUGCCUGAUUGUAAGAUUGACAAAUCAAACAGGGACGAAAGUCGGUUAUAGUGAUCCGGUGAUUCUGUGUGGAAAAGGUCAUCGCUCAACGGAUAAAAGGUACGCCGGGGAUAACAGGCUAAUUAUCCUCUAGAGACCCUAUCGACGGGAUAGUUUGGCACCUCGAUGUUGGAUUAUCGCAUCCUGGAACUGUAAGCGGUUCCAAGGGUUUGGCUGUUCGCCAAGAAAGGCGGUACAUGAUCUGAGUUUAGAACGUCGUGAGACAGUUUGGACCCUAUCUACCGCAGGCGCAAAAAAAUUGAAAGGAUUAAACCUUAGUACGAGAGGACCAGGAAAAGUGAAUCUCUGGUGUAUCGGUUGUUAUACCAAUAGCAUAGCCGAGUAGCUAUAAUUCAUAAUAGAUAAUCGCUGAAAGCAUCUAAGCGAGAAACUAACCUUGAGAUUAAUUUUUUAAAAGAACGUAGUAGAUUAUUACGAAAUAGGCUUAGUGUGUAAGAGUUGUAAAAU
rnacentral:rRNA from 16 species